CAGGAGAGCAGGGCUGGGCUCGGGGCUCUCGCUGCGCCAGCACGCGCACCCCGACCUGCAGGACAGCGCCCACAAGACCGUGCAGUGCCUGGAGCUCUUCGCCGAGACGGCCGACGCGCUGCUGCUCAAGCACGGGAAGAAGAUCGUGGACGAGCAGUUCGUGCUGAAGCGAGUGGCUGACGCUGCCAUCGACAUCUACGCCAUGGCCGUGGUGCUCUCCAGGGCCUCGCGGGCGCUGAGCCAGGGGCUCCCGGCGGCGCAGCACGAGCGGCUGCUCUGCGACACCUGGUGCCGGGAGGCCCACGAGCGGGUCUCUGCCACCCUCAGGGCUCCCCCCCCCAGCUUCACAGCGAUGCCUUAACCUGCCCCGCUCCGGGACGGGGCGACUGUUUUCAGGUCUCCUCUCUUUUUUGGAGGGGGGGAAACGCGCUGCUGCCCCCCACCUUGGGCAGGGUGCGGGGCCCCUUCUGCACCUCUCUGCCGGGGGGGGUGGUGAGGCCUCUGCUAUCAAUCUGCAGUAGUUUAGGGUCCCCUGGGCAUAAGAAAGGUGAUUUUUGAGGCUGCCCCUCAUCGCAGUGGCAGUUUUGAGGCUCCCCCUUCUCCCAGUAGUGGUCUCAAGUCUCCCCCUAUUUAAGUAGUGGUUUUGAGCCCCCCCCAGCAGCAGUUUUGAGGCUCCUCCCAUCCUAGCGGCUGUUUCAAGGGCCCCCAGAGCCUCCUUGCUGCCCCUGGGGGGCUCGGAGGAGCCAUGGCGGCUCCCCCCGGCCCCCCCCUCCAGCGUGUGCCUAAUUAAUUACUGCAGCUUAAUAAACGGUGACUGUGGGAACGGCGGCUGGUGGCA
rnacentral:lncRNA from 1 species